AGUAAAGAAGAGAGAGAAAGAAGAAGAAAGGAAAAAAGGAAGAAGAAGAAAGAAGAAAGAAGAAGAAGGGGAAGUUGACUGUAGAGCUUCAUCGGAGCUGGGUCUUAGUAUUUCGAGCCCAAAUUUAUGAUCAACUCGCUGAGGUCUUCGAUUUGAGGAUUUGAAAGGAGUGUUGGUGAAGGUCUAGAGUAUUUGAAAGUUCUUGAGUAAAAGAAGUGAAAUUUGGAGUUUCAUUGAUGUUCUUGAAAAAGAGGUUACACUCAAUCUACGCGUACCCACACAUCGGAUCUUUUCCGUACCGGGUACAAGCAUUAUGUACAUAUACAAAUGAUUUUGCAAGCUAUUCAGUAGAGGAGCCCGUGCCAGGUCCUAUCGAUGAAAUCCCAGUGGGAUAUUAGUGGGUCCCCGAAGAAUUCAAACAUGGUGACGGCUGCCCGUGUGAGGGUUGUGUGGCAAGGCAACAGUGACAGAUUCUAUUUACUGUACUCUUUUUUAUUCUUUUGGUAUAUUUCUCUUUUGUGCUCUCGAUAGUUAAAUUGUUAUUUCUUGUGUAAAUAUCAUGCCUAUGGGCUCACAUGUAAAUACUUUAUGUAUA